rnacentral:lncRNA from 1 species
AACCCCAGCUGCCAGAAGCUGAAGUGGAAGAAAAACCAAAGGUGCCCAGCUGGAAACCCGGGCAGCCUAGAGCAAGCUUAUGCAUGUCUGUGGGUUCUCCCUCUUCCUCUAUACUCCAAGGCCCCAGAGGGCCAGCUGUACACCCAUGGUGUGGGGAGGGAGGGAUGGUUCUUGGUCAGGUUCGCUCUUCUGGAAGCUUCCACACAGCAGAGCCCUGUAUUAUUUUCCCCUCCAAAGUGUACGUCCAGUGCUUUGCAAACCUUGGUUGAUUUGGCAGAGCAUUUAUCACAUAGAAUCACACUGUACUCCGAAGAGCAGUUUGCUUGACCCUAUAAAGCCUUGAGCUCUGAGGGCAGGAUACAGAACCCACAAUGACAGCUUGGAGAGUACCCUGGAAUGAGCGAAUAGGGAUCCCUCUCCAGAAGCUUCAUUUCUUCCCAGUCUUUUGUUAGAUAGGAGGUCUGGGACAAGUCACCUCCAGAUCGUCAGGUCUUGGUGGUGGUGGCACAGCAAGACCCUCCCCACCAGUAGAGGACCUCACACUGAGUACACGGGGCUCCUUAGUCUGAAUUUUCCUGGCUUUAAAACAUUUCGGAAGAAGAAAUCUACCACUAGAGUCAGCUCAAGGAAAGGGGAGCCUCAAUGGUACUCAGUAGGUGCUCAAUAAAUGCAUGUAUUCUUGUUCAACAAACCCUUAGGGAUGGGGAGGGCAUCACAGAGAACCCCAGAUCAUAGCCAGAAAGAGCUUUACAGAGCAGGAGCCCAGAAACUCUAGCUCUUGGUUCUCAAACGUGGCUGAAUAUUGGGGAAUUGAGGCUUUAAGAAAUCCUGAUGUUAGAGGAAUGAGUGUUGGGAUUGAUGUGUGACAAAGCAUAGUCACAUGUCCAAGAUAGAAUCUAGGUGGUAGAUACACAGCUGCUCACUGUAGGAUUCUUUCCAUUUUGCUGUGUGUUUAAACAUUUUAUUUUAUUUUUGUUUAUUUAUUUAUUUCUGAGACAGGAUCUCACUCUGUCACCUAGGAUGGAGUGCAGUGGCGCAAUGUCGGCUCACUGCAACCUCUACCUCCCAGGUUCAAGCGAUUCUCCUGCCUCAGCCUCCCGAGUAGCUGGGAUUACAGGCACGUUCCACCACACCUGGCUAAUUUUUGUAUUUUUAGUACAGAUGGGGUUUCAACUUGUUGCCCAGGCUGGUCUCGAAAUCCCGACCUCAGAUGAACUGCCUGUCUCAGCCUCCCAAAGUGCUGGGAUUACAGGCGUGAGCCACCGUGCCGGGCUGAACAUUUUCAUAAUGCAAUGUUGAGGGGGAAGUCCUGAGGCCUGGACUUGCCUCAAAGAUUCUGAUUUAAUUGGUGCAGCCUGUGUGUUUGCAAGAGCUCCCAGGUGAGUCUACUGUCCAGGUGAGUCUAUUGUCUAGCUGAGGCUGAUCUCCAUGGCUGUAGUUUGGGCUCACUGUGGGCCAGAACAGCAUCAUAAGUGUCACCUGGGAACUUGUUAGAAAUGCAGAUGUCCAGGCUCCACCCUGCCCAAGUGUGCAGAGCCAGAAACUCUGGAGGUGGAACCAAUGAUUGGUGUUUUAACAAAUGCCUUCCUGUGAUUCUGGUGCAUGUUAGCUGAAGUUAGUGGUUCACAAACUUGGGUGCAUGCUGGAAUCGCUUGAGGAAUUUUGGGGACAAAAUAGACAAUAUUCCAGGAUAAGCCUCAUACCCCUUGAAUUAGGUCUGCAAGGUAGGCGGCUGCAACAUAAAGGAAAAGUGCCCUGUCUAAUCCAGAGCAGUCAGGGGCAUCCACUGCCCUCAGGGCAAUCCAGUGCAACAGAGGACAUUCUUUCCUCCCAGGCUUGUCACCAAGGACAUAGGAGAAGGAGUGAAUAGGGUGAUGAGGAUCAAAAUGGAUCAGGGUCUCUUCCUACAGAUAAGGAAACUGAGGAUCCCAAAAUGGAGUAACUUGCCCCAGCUCAUACACCAAGCCGGGGGGCAGCCAGGAUUGAACCCAGUUCUGUCUCCAACUAAGUGGUUUUUAGUAUAUUCAUAACCAUCAUCACUAUCUAAUUCCAGAACAUUCUCAUCACUCCAAAAAGAUACUCUUCAUUCCCCAUUCCUCCCUCCACCCAGCUCCUGUCCACCACGAAUCUACUUUUUGCCUCCAUGGACAUGUCUGUUCUGAGCAUUUCAUGUAAAUGGAACCAUACAUUUUGUGGCCUUUUGUGACCAGCUUCUUUACUUAGCAUAAUGUUUUUGAGGUUUACUCAUAUUGUUGCAUGUCUCAGCACUUCGCUCUUUUUGUGACCAAAUAUGUGCUUGCAUGGAUCUCCUUGGUUUUGUUUAUGCACUCACCUGUGGAUGGGCAUUUGAGUUGUUUCCACUUUUUGGCUAUCACGGAUAAUGCUGCUAUGAACAUCCUUGCAUAAGUUUUUGUGUGGACAUAACUGUAUUCUCAAUUCUCCUGGGUAAACACCCAGGAGUGGAAUUGCUGAGUCCUAUGGUGACUCUAUUUUUUAACUUUUUAGGAACUUCCAGACCAUUUUCUGGAGCUUCACUUCUGUUAUCAACCCCAUUUUGCUGAUGACAAGGGAGGGAGAGAAGUGAGUUUGCUCAUAUUCGUCAGCUCUUGAAUGGCGGACUCAGAGGGUGGGGACUGCUCGUGGAAAGGAAUCCUCUGUUUCCCUCAAUGCAUUUCAUCCAUUCUUCGAAACUUUUGAGACCCUUCUAUGUGCCAGUCACUAGUCUAGGUGCUGAAAUUACCUCUGAGAGCCAGACAGACAUAGUUCCUGCCCUCUUGGAGACAUAGGUUAGAGGAGAAAACAGACAGUAGGCAAAUAAUUACAAAUUUGACAAGCAUAAUGGCAAAAUCUAUUAGAGUAUUUGCCAACUUAUCCUCUACUUUGUACAGUGAUCAAGAACUUGGGCUUGGAGUCAGCCCGCCUAUGUUCGAGUACUGGCCACUUACUAGCUGGGGGGCCUGGACAAUUUCCCUAACCUCCCUAUGUCUCCACUAUUCACGUGGAAAUGGACAGAGUAAUAGUACCUACUUUAAGGUUUACAGGGUGGAUUCAAAGCAUCAAAACCUAGAAAGCACUUCAAACCUGGCUUUGGCAAGUCCAAAAUCAAUACAAGCUAUCGAGGUUGCUGUUAUACUGUCUACACCUUAUCCAUCACUCUGGGGUAUGAAUCCUGGUCCCUCCAGCUUUCACUGUUUCCCACCUCCUCCCCAUGCCUGGCUACCCAUAUACAAACUCUGACAGUAAGCAGAAUUCCCACAGUGCUCUGUUCCAACAUCCUGCAUUGAGCUAAUCUGGUUUGAUGCUUCAGUUAGAAUCCCUAAUUCUAAUUGAAUGCCAGGCUCCUCAUUGCACAGAGUGCCAGGCUCCUCAUUGCACAGAGAAGAAAAUGCUUUUUAAAUAUUCAUCUUUUCUCCUUCACUAGACUGUGAGCGCCCUGAAGCUAGGCCUUCUUUCUCCUGUAGUGCUAAAAGUUUUUGGCAAGAAAAACAAGUGGAGGUAAAGUCGUAAAGUAGGGUGGUAGGGUUGAGAAAGGACAGGCUCUGGAGCCAGACAGCCCUGGGGCUAUCACACCUGCUCUGCCACCUGUAACCACCUGACCAGGACAGCUUCCUUGGGGAGCCUCCUUCAAUCAUCUGUGAAAUGCAGGAGGAGCAGCCGCCCGUCAGACCUGGUGGGGAUCAGCAGUGACCUGCAGAAGUUGCUGGUGUGGUGGGCACCGGAUACCUGGUGUUUCUGCUGCCUCGGUGCUGCUGAGGACCCAGAGCCCUGCCUGAGCAGCACGCUCACAGAGGCAGCGAAGUACAGGAAGUACACAAGGUCAAAAGGAAAACACGCUCUCCAGAGACGUCCUCUGAUCACUAUCGUGUACGUUGGGUCGAAUGGAACAGAAUUUGCUGCUAGAGUGUUUUUCCUCUCCUAACCCCAUAGACGCUUCUAUUUUGCUAUUUUUACUAAACUCGAACAGGAACAGAAAGUAUUCAUGCAACUGUAUCCAGUGAAUGAUUAAGAAAUGCGUAAGAGCGGAGAUUGUGUAAUUCCCAGGCUGCUGUGCCUUGUCAUCAGCCGCAAGUCCGAGAAAUACUGCAACCGUCAAGUUGACCUCUGUUCCUAAGAAAUUUCCUGGGUUGGCUUUAACACAUUCUUUGAGAGUUAUGACAUAGGAUAUUAAAAAAAUUCCUCCCACUUAGUGAGCCAUACAAAGCCCACCACACAUCAGUAGUGUCCAUCCCAUGUUUAAUCUUCAGAAGGUGUGUGAGGAAUAACAUGUUUGCUUUUGAAAGAUGCCUUGUAGACUGUGCGCAGUGGCUCAUGCCUGUAAUCCCAGCACUUUGGGAGGCUGAGGAGAGCGGAUCACCUGAGGUCAGGAGUUUGAAACCAGCCUGGUCAACAUGGUGAAACGCCAUCUCUAUUAAAAAUACAAAACUUAGCCAGGCGUUGUGGCGGGCACCUGUAAUCCCAGCUACUAAGGAGGCUGAGGUAGAAGAAUUGCUUGAACCUGGGAGGCAGAGGCUGCAGUGAGCUGAGAUCAUGCCACUGCACUCCAGCCUGGGCAACAGAGCAAGACUCCAUCUCAAAAAAAAAAAAAAAGAUGCCUUGUCUUCAAGCAAACUAUUAUUAAGGAUGAGUUGCUUAUUUGUAUUAAAAAGAGGGCUGGAGGAUAGCUUGAGCCCAGGAGUUCAAAACCUGCCUGGGCAAUAUAGUGAGACCCCAUUCUCAAAAAAAAAAAAAAAAGAAAGAAAAGGUGGGGAUCACUGAAUUUUCUAUUGCAUUAACCAAGAAUCUUAAAAGUCAUAUUUUUAAAGAUUAUUGAAGAUUUAAAAUGUGUCUUGUUUUUUUUUUUUUCAUUUUGUUUUAUUUUAUUUGAGACAGGGUCUCAUGAUGUUGCCCAGGCUGGUUUUACUCCUGGGCUCAAACUGUCUUCCUGCCUCAUCCUCCCAAUUAGCUGGAGUGCAGUGGUGCAAUCGCACUUCAUUGCAGCCUGGACCUCCUGAGCUCAAGUGAGCCUCCCACCUCAGCCUCUUAAGAAGCUGGGACUGCAGACACAUGCCAGCAAUACACCUGGCUAAUAUUUUAAUUUAAUUUUUUCUAGAGACAGGGUCUCACAAUGUUGCCCAGACUGGUCUCGAACUCCUGGAUCAAGCAGUUUGCCCACCUCAGCCUCCCAAAAUGUUGCAAUUACAGGCUUGAGCCUUUUUAUUAUUUAUUUAUUUAUUUAUUUAUUUAUUUAUUUAUUUAUUUUGAGAUGGAGUCUUGCUCUUUGUUGCCCAGGGUGGAGUACAAUGGCGCGACCUUGGCUAACUGCAACCUCCACCUCUCGGGUUCAAGCGAUUCUCCUGCCUCAGCCUCCUCAGCAGCUGGGACUACAGGUGCGUGCCACCACACCCGGCUAAUUUUUUGUAUUUUUUUGUAGAGACGGGGUUUCACCGUGUUAGCCAAGAUGGUCUCAAUCUCCUGACCUCGUGAUCUGCCCGCCUCGGACUCCCAAAAUGCUGGGAUUACAGGCGUGAGCCACCGUGCCCGGCCUGAGCCUUUUUAUUUUUAAAAGUGGCUUUCCAUUUUCUUUCUGUGGCAAUUUCAAGAGGCAUGGUGUGUUAUUAUCCCUGAGCUUUCUUGGGUAUUAAAAAAAGGCCAUGGGACUGGGCGCGGUGGCUCACGCCUGUAAUCCCAGCACUUUGGGAGGCUGAGGUGGGCGGACCACCUGAGGUCAGGAGUUCAAGACCAGUUUGACCAACAUGGUGAAACCCUAUCUCUACUAAAAUACAAAAAAAUUAGCCGCGCGUAGUGACAGGUGCCUGUAGUCUCAGCUACUUGGGAGGCUGAGGCGGGAGAAUUGCUUGAAACCAGGAGGCAGAGGUUGCAGUGAGCCAAGAUUGCGCCAUUGCACUUCAGCCUGGGCAACAAGAGACUCUGUCUCACAU